rnacentral:lncRNA from 1 species
AUGCAAGCAAAUAUGUAUUUGAGGGGGGGCACACAGGAAGUAUGGCAAAGUCAGGUAGGAGACCUGCACCAACUUCCUGUGCUUACCGGAGAGCGAGAGAGACCGGGCAGGCACCGCGUUAUGCUGUGGAGCGCACGGUGUCCCCAGUGCGGGUGCAUAGCCCGGUGCGGUACAUACCAGCUCAUCGAGCCAAGUGCAAUGAAGCUGUCUCUACGCAUCUGGUCUCCAGUGCGUCUCCUUGGGCCGGCGUACAUGGCACAAGCCUUAUGCAUGGUGUCCCCAGUUCGCCUGCACAGCCCAGUGCGGGCUAUUCCUCCUCGCCGCACUGGCAGGGCGACCGGGAGCAUUCAACCAGGUAAGGUUGGGCAGGCUCGGUGCUCAAGAGCUCCAGUGCACCUGCACGGUCCGGUCUAUCCGGUGCCACCUACAUGCACCAGCCCUCCGGUGGCAGCCCCCCGCACCAGGCUUCCUGUGCGUGUCCAGAGCCCAGUACUCCCUGUUCCUCCUCCCCGCACUCGCCCUGAGGUGUGUGUCCUCGGCCCAGUACCACCAGCGCCGGCACCACGCACCAGGCCUACAGUGUGCCUCGUCUGUCCAGAGCUGCUAGAGUCUCCCGUCUGUCCAGAGCUGCUAGAGUCUCCCGUCUGUCCAGAGCUGCUAGAGUCUCCCGUCUGUCCAGAGCUGCUAGAGUCUCCCGUCUGUCCAGAGCUGCUAGAGUCUUCCGUCUGUCCAGAGCUGCUAGAGUCUCCCGUCUGUCCAGAGUUGCUAGAGUCUCCCGACUGUCCAGAGCCACCAGAGUCUCCCGUCUGUCAUGAGCCGCCAGUCAGCCAGGAUCCGCCAGAGCCGCCAGUCAGCCAGGAUCUUCCAGAGCCGCCAUUCAGCCAGGAUCCGCCAGAGCCGCCAUUCAGCCAGGAUCCGCCAGUCGUCAUUCAGCCAGGAUCCGCCAGUCGUCAUUCAGCCAGGAUCCGCCAAAGCCUCCAUUCAGCCAGGAUCCGCCAGAGCCGCCAUUUAGCCAGGAACUGCCAGAACCGCCAUUCAGCCAGGAUCUGCCAGAGCCGCCAUUUAGCCAGGAUCUGCCAGAGCCGCCAUUCAGCCAGGAUCUGCCAUUCAGCCAGGAUCUGCCAGAGCCGCCAUUCAGCCAGGAUCUGCCAGAGCCGCCAUUCAGCCAGAAGCUGCCAGAGCCGUCAACCAGCCUGA